rnacentral:rRNA from 1 species
UACGGAGGGGGCUAGCGUUGUUCGGAAUUACUGGGAGUAAAGCGCACGUAGGCGGCUUUGUAAGUUAGAGGUGAAAGCCCAGGGCUUAACCCUGGAAUUGCCUUUAAGACUGCAUCGCUAGAAUUGUGGAGAGGUAAGUGGAAUUCCGAGUGUAGAGGUGAAAUUCGUAGAUAUUCGGAAGAACACCGAUGGCGAAGGCAGAUCUCUGGGCCGAUACUGACGCUGAGGAGCGAAAGCGUGGGGAGCGAACAGG